rnacentral:tRNA from 1 species
GCGUGGGUGGCGAAAUUGGCAGACGCGCUAGAUUCAGGUUCUAGUGAACAAUACGUUCAUGUGGGUUCAAGUCCCGUCCCGCGCACCA